rnacentral:rRNA from 1 species
GUAGUCAUAUGCUUGUCUCAAAGAUUAAGCCAUGCAUGUCUAAGUAUAAGCAAUUUAUACAGUGAAACUGCGAAUGGCUCAUUAAAUCAGUUAUCGUUUAUUUGAUAGUUCCUUUACUACAUGGUAUAACUGUGGUAAUUCUAGAGCUAAUACAUGCUUAAAAUCUCGACCCUUUGGAAGAGAUGUAUUUAUUAGAUAAAAAAUCAAUGUCUUCGGACUCUUUGAUGAUUCAUAAUAACUUUUCGAAUCGCAUGGCCUUGUGCUGGCGAUGGUUCAUUCAAAUUUCUGCCCUAUCAACUUUCGAUGGUAGGAUAGUGGCCUACCAUGGUUUCAACGGGUAACGGGGAAUAAGGGUUCGAUUCCGGAGAGGGAGCCUGAGAAACGGCUACCACAUCCAAGGAAGGCAGCAGGCGCGCAAAUUACCCAAUCCUAAUUCAGGGAGGUAGUGACAAUAAAUAACGAUACAGGGCCCAUUCGGGUCUUGUAAUUGGAAUGAGUACAAUGUAAAUACCUUAACGAGGAACAAUUGGAGGGCAAGUCUGGUGCCAGCAGCCGCGGUAAUUCCAGCUCCAAUAGCGUAUAUUAAAGUUGUUGCAGUUAAAAAGCUCGUAGUUGAACUUUGGGCCUGGUUGGCCGGUCCGAUUUUUUCGUGUACUGGAUUCCAACCGGGCCUUUCCUUCUGGCUAACCUUGGGUCCUUGUGGCUCUUGGCGAACCAGGACUUUUACUUUGAAAAAAUUAGAGUGUUCAAAGCAGGCGUAUUGCUCGAAUAUAUUAGCAUGGAAUAAUAGAAUAGGACGUUUGGUUCUAUUUUGUUGGUUUCUAGGACCAUCGUAAUGAUUAAUAGGGACGGUCGGGGGCAUCAGUAUUCAAUUGUCAGAGGUGAAAUUCUUGGAUUUAUUGAAGACUAACUACUGCGAAAGCAUUUGCCAAGGACGUUUUCAUUAAUCAAGAACGAAAGUUAGGGGAUCGAAGAUGAUCAGAUACCGUCGUAGUCUUAACCAUAAACUAUGCCGACUAGGGAUCGGGUGGUGUUUUUUUAAUGACCCACUCGGCACCUUACGAGAAAUCAAAGUCUUUGGGUUCUGGGGGGAGUAUGGUCGCAAGGCUGAAACUUAAAGGAAUUGACGGAAGGGCACCACCAGGAGUGGAGCCUGCGGCUUAAUUUGACUCAACACGGGGAAACUCACCAGGUCCAGACACAAUAAGGAUUGACAGAUUGAGAGCUCUUUCUUGAUUUUGUGGGUGGUGGUGCAUGGCCGUUCUUAGUUGGUGGAGUGAUUUGUCUGCUUAAUUGCGAUAACGAACGAGACCUUAACCUACUAAAUAGUGAUGCUAGCAUUUGCUGGUUUUUCACUUCUUAGAGGGACUAUCGAUUUCAAGUCGAUGGAAGUUUGAGGCAAUAACAGGUCUGUGAUGCCCUUAGACGUUCUGGGCCGCACGCGCGCUACACUGACGGAGCCAGCGAGUCUAACCUUGGCCGAGAGGUCUUGGUAAUCUUGUGAAACUCCGUCGUGCUGGGGAUAGAGCAUUGUAAUUAUUGCUCUUCAACGAGGAAUUCCUAGUAAGCGCAAGUCAUCAGCUUGCGUUGAUUACGUCCCUGCCCUUUGUACACACCGCCCGUCGCUAGUACCGAUUGAAUGGCUUAGUGAGGCCUCAGGAUCUGCUUAGAGAAGGGGGCAACUCCAUCUCAGAGCGGAGAAUCUGGACAAACUUGGUCAUUUAGAGGAACUAAAAGUCGUAACAAGGUUUCCGUAGGUGAACCUGCGGAAGGAUCAUUAAAGAAAUUUAUGAUUGUGAGACUGAAUUAGAGGGAGGAUGAGUUACUUUGUUUCUUGUUGGCCUGCGCUUAACUGCGCGGCUUACUUGGGGCUGUAGUGCUUGUUUUCAUUAACUUCUUUUUCGUGUCAAACUUCUACACACUGUGGAGUUUCUACUUUACAAUUUUUCUUUGGGACGAGCUCUGCUCUCCCAGAGGUAACAAACACAAACAAUUUUGUCAUUUUAAUACAACAGUCAAAACCUGAAAUUUCGUAACAGAUUUUUUAAAAUAAAUAUUUAAAACUUUCAACAACGGAUCUCUUGGUUCUCGCAUCGAUGAAGAACGCAGCGAAAUGCGAUACGUAAUGUGAAUUGCAGAAUUCCGUGAAUCAUCGAAUCUUUGAACGCACAUUGCGCCCCUUGGUAUUCCAGGGGGCAUGCCUGUUUGAGCGUCAUUUCCUUCUCAAACAAUUCUGUUUGGUUGUGAGUGAUACUCAUUUACUUGGGUUAACUUGAAAUUGCUAGCCUCUUUGGCUGUGUGAUUUUGCUGACUUAGGAUAGAAUCAACUUUGUCCAGUCUAGCUUGAUACCAUUAUUGUCGUAUUAGGUUUUACCAACUUCGGCAGCAACAGUAUUAGUUAGGUGUUAUAAAGACAUGACUGUAUUUUGCUCUAGAUUUUCAAAGCUGCGCAGUCUGGCGAACAGUACUCUUAAAGUUUGACCUCAAAUCAGGUAGGAAUACCCGCUGAACUUAAGCAUAUCAAUAAGCGGAGGAAAAGAAACCAACUGGGAUUGCCUUAGUAACGGCGAGUGAAGCGGCAAAAGCUCAAAUUUGAAAUCUGGUACCUUCGGUGCCCGAGUUGUAAUUUGUAGAGGGCAACUUUGGAGUCGUUCCUUGUCUAUGUUCCUUGGAACAGGACGUCAUAGAGGGUGAGAAUCCCGUUUGGCGAGGAGUGCGAUUCUAUGUAAAGUGCUUUCGAAGAGUCGAGUUGUUUGGGAAUGCAGCUCUAAGUGGGUGGUAAAUUCCAUCUAAAGCUAAAUAUUGGCGAGAGACCGAUAGCGAACAAGUACAGUGAUGGAAAGAUGAAAAGAACUUUGAAAAGAGAGUGAAAAAGUACGUGAAAUUGUUGAAAGGGAAGGGCAUUUGAUCAGACAUGGUGUUUUGCGCCCUCUGCUCCUUGUGGGUGGGGGAAUCUCGCAGCUCACUGGGCCAGCAUCAGUUUUUGCGGCAGGAUAAAACCAAAGGAAUGUGGCUUGCUUCGGGAAGUGUUAUAGCCUUUGGAAAUACUGCCAGCGGGGACUGAGGACUGCGACAUUCGUCAAGGAUGCUGGCAUAAUGGUUAUAUGCCGCCCGUCUUGAAACACGGACC